GCUCAGGACGAACGCUGGCGGCGUGCUUAACACAUGCAAGUCGAACGGUGAAGCCCUUCGGGGUGGAUCAGUGGCGAACGGGUGAGUAACACGUGAGCAACCUGCCCCUGACUCUGGGAUAACUACCGGAAACGGUGGCUAAUACCGGAUAUGACCUGCUCGGGCAUCUGAGUGGGUGGAAAGUUUUUCGGUUGGGGAUGGGCUCGCGGCCUAUCAGCUUGUUGGUGGGGUGAUGGCCUACCAAGGCGACGACGGGUAGCCGGCCUGAGAGGGCGACCGGCCACACUGGGACUGAGACACGGCCCAGACUCCUACGGGAGGCAGCAGUGGGGAAUAUUGCGCAAUGGGCGAAAGCCUGACGCAGCGACGCCGCGUGGGGGAUGAAGGCCUUCGGGUUGUAAACCUCUUUCAGCGCCGAAGAAGCGAAAGUGACGGUAGGCGCAGAAGAAGCACCGGCUAACUACGUGCCAGCAGCCGCGGUAAUACGUAGGGUGCAAGCGUUGUCCGGAAUUAUUGGGCGUAAAGAGCUCGUAGGCGGUCUGUCGCGUCUGCUGUGAAAACUCGGGGCUUAACUCCGGGCUUGCAGUGGGUACGGGCAGACUAGAGUGCGGUAGGGGAGACUGGAAUUCCUGGUGUAGCGGUGAAAUGCGCAGAUAUCAGGAGGAACACCGGUGGCGAAGGCGGGUCUCUGGGCCGUAACUGACGCUGAGGAGCGAAAGCGUGGGGAGCGAACAGGAUUAGAUACCCUGGUAGUCCACGCCGUAAACGUUGGGCGCUAGGUGUGGGGUCCGUUCCACGGGUUCCGUGCCGCAGCUAACGCAUUAAGCGCCCCGCCUGGGGAGUACGGCCCGCAGGCUAAAACUCAAAG
rnacentral:rRNA from 1 species